GCUCCGUGAAGUUUUAAGUGUUUGGAAGUGCAUCUAGUGUUUGGUCUUUGGCCGACUGUACCCCCGCAAAGCAAAGCCAGCCGUGUGGACAGUGAAGAAGCAGAUAUUGCACGCUGAAAACAUCACCUCAUCACAGAUGCAUCGUGCACUGACACUAUCUUGUGGUCUCCAGAGACGAGUACAACCUGCG